rnacentral:rRNA from 1 species
GACGAACGCUGGCGGCGUGCUUAACACAUGCAAGUCGAACGGGUCUGCCCUGUUUUUUGCGGGGUGGGUCAGUGGCGAACGGGUGAGUAACACGUGAGUAACCUGCCCCUCACUUCUGGAUAACCGCUUGAAAGGGUGGCUAAUACGGGGUGUUCUGGCUGUGCCACAUGGUGUGGCUGGGAAAGAUUCACUUUUGUGGUGUUUUGGUGGGGGAUGGGCUCGCGGCCUAUCAGCUUGUUGGUGGGGUGAUGGCCUGCCAAGGCUUUGACGGGUAGCCGGCCUGAGAGGGUGGGCGGUCACACUGGGACUGAGAUACGGCCCAGACUCCUGCGGGAGGCAGCAGUGGGGGGUAUUGCACAAUGGGCGGAAGCCUGAUGCAGCGACGUCGCGUGAGGGAUGGAGGCCUUCGGGUUGUGAACCUCUUUCGCCGGUGAAGAAGGUCCUGCUCUUUGUGGUGGGGUUGACGGUAGCCGGGUUAUGAAGCGCCGGCUAACUACGUG